UGAAUACGAGAUGCUACGGCGUCGAAGCAGUCUAUGUCAUACUUCCAAGAAAAGCUUGCACUGUCAUAAACAAAUAAUGCCUGUACCAUAACCGACACAGGUGGGUAGGUAGAGUAUACUAAGGGGCGCGAGAUAACUCUCUCUAAGGAACUCGGCAAAAUGACUCCGUAACUUCGGGAGAAGGAGUGCCUUAUUUAUAAGGUUGCAAUAACAAGAUCCAAGCAACUGUUUACCAAAAACACAGGUCUCCGCUAAGUCGUAAGACGAUGUAUGGGGGCUGACGCCUGCCCAGUGCCAGAAGGUUAAAGAAGUUGGUUAGCAUCCGCGAAGCUGAUAACUGAAGCCCUGGUGAACGGCGGCCGUAACAAUAACGGUCCUAAGGUAGCGAAAUUCCUUGUCGGGUAAGUUCCGACCCGCACGAAAGGCGUAAUGAUUUGGAUACUGUCUCGGAGAGGGGCUCGGUGAAAUAGACUUGUCUGUGAAGAUGCGGACUACCUGCACCAGGACAGAAAGACCCUAUGAAGCUUUACUGUAACCUGAAAUUGAAAUUGGACUUUACUUGCGCAGUAUAGGUGGGAGGCGUUGAGAAUAUUCUUGCGGGAUUAUUGGAGCCAUCAGUGAGAUACCACUCUUGUAAUGUUAGAUUUCUAACUUUGUAUCAUUAUCUGGUCAAAGAACAGUUUCAGGCGGGCAGUUUGACUGGGGCGGUCGCCUCCUAAACGGUAACGGAGGCGCACAAAGGUUUCCUCUGAACGGGUAGAAAUCGUAUCUAGAGUGUAAAGGCAUAAGGAAGCUUGACUGUGAGACCUACAAGUCGAGCAGGGACGAAAGUCGGUCUUAGUGAUCUGACGGUGCUGAGUGGAAAGGCCGUCACUCAACGGAUAAAAGUUACUCUAAGGAUAACAGGCUGAUCUCCCCCAAGAGUUCACAUCGACGGGGAGGUUUGGCACCUCGAUGUCGGCUCAUCGCAUCCUGGGGCGGUAGUACGUCCCAAGGGUUGGGCUGUUCGCCCAUGAAAGCGGUACGCGAGCUGGGUUCAGAACGUCGUGAGACAGUUCGGUCCAUAUCCGGUGUAGGCGUUAGAAUAUUGAGAGGAGCCUUCUUUAGUACGAGAGGACCGAGAAGGACAUACCUCUGGUGUACCAGUUAUCGUGCCAACGGUAAACGCUGGGUAGCUAUGUGUGGAGUGGAUAACCGCUGAAAGCAUCUAAGUGGGAAGCCCACCUCAAGAUAAGUAUUCUCAU
rnacentral:rRNA from 1 species